AUUGAACGCUGUCGGCAGGCCUAACACAUGCAAGUCGAACGCGUGGCGGACGGGUGAGUAAUUUCUGGGAAACUGCCCGAUGUAGGGGGAUAACUACUGGAAACGGUAGCUAAUACCCCAUACCAUCGGGUGUGCCCCGAUGUGAUUAGCUAGUAGGUGGGGUAAAGGCUCACCUAGGCGACGAUCCCUAUCUGGUGUGAGAGGAUGACCAGCCACACUGGAAAUGAGACAAGGUCCAGACUCCGACGGGAGGCAGCAGUGGGGAAUAUGGCAAAAUGGGCGCAAGCCUGAGGCAGCCAUGCCGCGUGUAUGAAGAAGGCCUUAGGGUUGGAAAGUACGUUCAGCGAGGAGGCGUUAAUAGCAGAAGAAGCACCGGCUAACUCCGUGCCAGCAGAAGAGGUAAUUC
rnacentral:rRNA from 1 species